AGCCAUUAGCUCAGCUGGUAGAGCAUCUGACUUUUAAUCAGAGGGUCAGAGGUUCGAAUCCUCUAUGGCUCA
rnacentral:tRNA from 1 species